rnacentral:lncRNA from 1 species
UCUAAUGAGCACCCACAUCUUUGUAUUAGUGUCUCACACAAGUGAUUGUGAGAUCAAUCACCCUCUACAUUGAGCAUACAUAAGAUGUGCCAGUCUUUCCGGUAAUAUUGAUCCCCGACUCAAUAUACCAAUUUGACUAGGAAUAUUCUAAAUUAGGAUUUUAGGAUUUUAGGUCUCACUAGUAUGAUCUCAUCAUAACCCUAAAACCAAUGACCUAAUUUAUGGGGUUCAUCAUCCAAUAAUAAAAUAGAUAAGCAG